AGAGUUUGAUCCUGGCUCAGAUUGAACGCUGGCGGCAUGCUUUACACAUGCAAGUCGAACGGCAGCACGGGGUAACCUGGUGGCGAGUGGCGAACGGGUGAGUAAUAUAUCGGAACAUGUCCGGAAGUGGGGGAUAACGUAGCGAAAGUUACGCUAAUACCGCAUAUGCCCUGAGGGGGAAAGGAGGGGAUCGCAAGACCUUUCGCUUUCGGAGUGGCCGAUAUCAGAUUAGCUAGUUGGUGGGGUAAAGGCCUACCAAGGCAACGAUCUGUAGCUGGUCUGAGAGGACGACCAGCCACACUGGGACUGAGACACGGCCCAGACUCCUACGGGAGGCAGCAGUGGGGAAUUUUGGACAAUGGGGGAAACCCUGAUCCAGCCAUGCCGCGUGAGUGAAGAAGGCCUUCGGGUUGUAAAGCUCUUUCAGCCGGAAAGAAAUCGCACUGGUUAAUACCUUGUGUGGAUGACGGUACCGGAAGAAGAAGCACCGGCUAACUACGUGCCAGCAGCCGCGGUAAUACGUAGGGUGCGAGCGUUAAUCGGAAUUACUGGGCGUAAAGCGUGCGCAGGCGGUUUUGUAAGACAGAUGUGAAAUCCCCGGGCUUAACCUGGGAACUGCAUUUGUGACUGCAAGGCUAGAGUACGGCAGAGGGGGGUAGAAUUCCACGUGUAGCAGUGAAAUGCGUAGAUAUGUGGAGGAAUACCGAUGGCGAAGGCAGCCCCCUGGGUCGAUACUGACGCUCAUGCACGAAAGCGUGGGUAGCAAACAGGAUUAGAUACCCUGGUAGUC
rnacentral:rRNA from 1 species